rnacentral:rRNA from 1 species
CGGCAGCACGGGAGCAAUCCUGGUGGCGAGUGGCGAACGGGUGAGUAAUACAUCGGAACGUGCCCAGUAAUGGGGGAUAACCCGGCGAAAGCCGGACUAAUACCGCAUACGACCUACGGGUGAAAGCGGGGGAUCGCAAGACCUCGCGUUAUUGGAGCGGCCGAUGGCAGAUUAGCUAGUUGGUGGGGUAAAAGCCCACCAAGGCGACGAUCUGUAGCUGGUCUGAGAGGACGACCAGCCACACUGGGACUGAGACACGGCCCAGACUCCUACGGGAGGCAGCAGUGGGGAAUUUUGGACAAUGGGCGGAAGCCUGAUCCAGCCAUGCCGCGUGUGGGAAGAAGGCCUUCGGGUUGUAAACCACUUUUGUCAGGGAAGAAACGCUCUAGGUUAAUACCUUGGAGUAAUGACGGUACCUGAAGAAUAAGCACCGGCUAACUACGUGCCAGCAGCCGCGGUAAUACGUAGGGUGCAAGCGUUAAUCGGAAUUACUGGGCGUAAAGCGUGCGCAGGCGGCUUUGCAAGACAGAUGUGAAAUCCCCGGGCUCAACCUGGGAACUGCAUUUGUGACUGCAUGGCUAGAGUGCGGCAGAGGGGGAUGGAAUUCCGCGUGUAGCAGUGAAAUGCGUAGAUAUGCGGAGGAACACCGAUGGCGAA